GGGGAAUAUUGGACAAUGGGCGGAAGCCUGAUCCAGCAAUGCCGCGUGUGUGAAGAAGGCCUGCGGGUUGUAAAGCACUUUCGGUGGGGAGGAAAGUGACGUGACGAAAAGUGACGUCAUGUGACGUUACCCACACAAGCAGCACCGGCUAACUCUGUGCCAGCAGCCGCGGUAAUACAGAGGGUGCAAGCGUUAAUCGGAUUGACUGGGCGUAAAGCGCGUGUAGGCGGUUGACGAAGUGAAGGGUGAAAGUCCUGGGCUUAACCUAGGGAUGGCACUGUAUACUGGUUGACUAGAGUCUAGGAGAGGGAAGUAGAAUUUCCGGUGUAGCGGUGAAAUGCGUAGAGAUCGGAAAGAGUACCGGUGGCGAAGGCGACUUUCUGGCUUAAGACUGACGCUGAGACGCGAAGGCGUGGGUAGCGAAC
rnacentral:rRNA from 1 species